GUUACCUUUUAAAAACAAGAACAACAACUCUCUCCACUUACCACCUCUAUCCUGGGGACUCCCUCACCCCCAUCAGCACCUACACCAUCAUUCACAGGUGGCUUGAGGAUUUUAAGGCGGUCACUAUGUUGCGGUGCUCAAUUCUUCUUUCUCUUCCCUCCUAGAAGGUUCCCGGCUCCUGCUUCUGCCUUGUCCAUUGCAACUGAGAUCAAAGCCCUCAAGCAGAUAACUGGAGCUCACCCUGCCUGCUUGCAACCUGCUUGCCCUGUUUCCCUGUGCCUCAUGAGUCGGAAGGGAGAGAAUGUGCUAAAAUCGCUGCAGAAGGAAUUUGGUGUUGACUUUCGGAAGAAUUUCCUGCUAAUAAUAUUGAAGUGCUGGAGAACCUCACAGAAGGAGCUUCAGGGUUUCGUUCUAUCAGCAUCUCCUGAGCACCUUCUGGAGAUUUCCUGAUGAGAAAACAGAGGGAUGGGGGAUCCAAAAGUCACCAAGGCAAGAAGGUGGCAGACCAAGAAGAAGA